rnacentral:rRNA from 1 species
UACGUAGGGUGCGAGCGUUAAUCGGAAUUACUGGGCGUAAAGCGUGCGCAGGCGGUUUUGUAAGCCAGGUGUGAAAUCCCCGGGCUCAACCUGGGAAUGGCAUUUGGGACUGCAAGGCUGGAGUGCGGCAGAGGAGACUGGAAUUCCUGGUGUAGCAGUGAAAUGCGUAGAGAUCAGGAGGAAUACCGAUGGCGAAGGCAGGUCUCUGGGCUGAUACUGACGCUCAUGCACGAAAGCGUGGGGAGCAAACAGG